rnacentral:rRNA from 1 species
CAGCACCUCAAGUGGUCAGGAUGAUUAUUGGGCCUAAAGCAUCCGUAGCCGGCGCUGUAAGUUUUCGGUUAAAUCUGUACGCUCAACGUACAGGCUGCCGGGAAUACUGCAGCGCUAGGGAGUGGGAGAGGUAGACGGUACUCGGUAGGAAGGGGUAAAAUCCUUUGAUCUAUUGAUGACCACCUGUAGCGAAGGCGGUCUACCAGAACACGUCCGACGGUGAUGGAUGAAAGCUGGGGGAGCAAACCGGAUUAGAUACCCGAGUAGUCC